CAUUUACCAAUUUCUCGUUUGUAUAUUGUUCCCUCGAAAAGAAAAAAAAUGAAAGUUUUCUCUUUUAUAUCCAUUUGAGAGCUAAGACUAACUACUAAUGUUUUUUUUUAAAUUUUGGGUUGACUGUAGAUUGUGGUGGGUCGUAUAGGGACUGAAAUGCUCACUAAUGAAGCCGGUGAAGUUACCAAGUUUUUAAUAUAUUUUUCUCUUCAUUCAUUAUUUCUUUUUUAUCUUAAAGAACUAUCGUUAGCUGAUUCUUAUUUUAUUUUUUUACCUUUUCAAUUAAAUUUUCAUUAUUUGGUUCAUAAAAUGUUUACAUGGGUUCUGCUGGCCUAAUCCUUAGUCAUUUGCAAAGGCAUGUUUACUCGGACAAUUCGGCUGCUUGAAGCUGGGCUUAAACCUGUCUAUGUUUUUUAUGGGUAGCCUCCAGAUUUGAAAAAAACAAGAGCUUGCUAAGCGUUACUCAAAGAGGGCAGAUGCUACGGAGGAUUUGCAAGAAGCCGUGGAGGUAUUUUUCUUUGGUCACACAUGGAGUGAUAAGUAAAGUUUUCUUUUGUUGUUUCACCACUACGGAAAAUUAAGGUGCUGUUGUUUUUAAAUAAGGACGACAUUGAGAAAUUAAAUAUGUAGCCAAAAUUUUGUCACCUGUCAGUAAUAGAUACUCGUAGAGUUCAAUCAAUUCAACGCUGUAAGAAAAGGGAAGCAUAUGUAUAAUAACCGUGUA